UACGUAGGGGGCAAGCGUUGUCCGGAAUUAUUGGGCGUAAAGGGCGCGUAGGCGGCCGAAUAAGUCUGAUGUGAAAUCCCACGGCUCAACCGUGGAACUGCAUCUGAAACUGUUCGGCUCGGAGUCCGGGAGAGGGUAGUGGAAUUCCCAAGUGUAGCGGUGAAAUGCGUAGAUAUUGGGAGGAACACCGGUGGCGAAGGCGGCUACCUGGACCGGUACUGGACGCUGAGGCGCGAAAGCUAGGGUAGCAAACAGG
rnacentral:rRNA from 1 species